rnacentral:rRNA from 1 species
UACGUAGGGUGCAAGCGUUAAUCGGAAUUACUGGGCGUAAAGGGCGCGCAGGCGGCCCUCCAAGUCAGGCGUGAAAGCCCCGGGCUCAACCCGGGAAUAGCGCUUGAGACUGGGGGGCUUGAGUUCGGGAGAGGAGAGUGGAAUUCCCAGUGUAGAGGUGAAAUUCGUAGAUAUUGGGAAGAACACCGGUGGCGAAGGCGGCUCUCUGGACCGACACUGACGCUGAGGCGCGAAAGCGUGGGGAGCAAACAGG